rfam:Thelohanellus kitauei scaffold00055, whole genome shotgun sequence.
AUCAACAGGGAAUAAAGAAUAAUGUGUGGUGAAUCCCCCUAAGCGGCGGGGUCAAGCUGAAUCGAGGAAUACCCUCAUCUACGUUUCGUUUUUAUUGACGAAUCAGGAAGUCAGCGCCUGAUUCACCGGGAGGCACCCGGCACCACACCACCCUCUAAUAAUUUAAUGUGUAUCGUUCUGCCUGCUUUACGGCAGGUAAUUUCUUGUAC